UACGGAGGGCGCAAGCGUUACUCGGAAUCACUGGGCGUAAAGAGCGUGUAGGCGGAUAAUUAAGUCAGGAGUGAAAUCCUAUAGCUCAACUAUAGAACUGCUCUUGAAACUGAUUAUCUAGAAUAUGGGAGAGGUAGAUGGAAUUUCUGGUGUAGGGGUAAAAUCCGUAGAGAUCAGAAGGAAUACCGAUUGCGAAGGCGAUCUACUGGAACAUUAUUGACGCUGAGACGCGAAAGCGUGGGGAGCAAACAGG
rnacentral:rRNA from 1 species